ensembl:rRNA 5S_rRNA 5S ribosomal RNA
GCUUACGGCCAUACCAGCCGAAGAACUCCUAGUCUCGUCUGAUCUCCGAAGCUAAGAAGGCUUGGGCCUGGUUAGUAUAUGGAUGGGAGACUGCCUGGGAAUACCAGGUGCUGUAAGCU